UAUAAACUUAGAAAUGUGCUAUUUUGGAGAUUUGCCCAAAAGAAAAUCCAACACUAAUAAUAAAUUAUAAAAAUAAAAUAAAAAACCUGUUUACCUUAAGUUCUAAACCCUAAACAUGCCCUAAACCCUAACUACAUAUCUCAAUACCCUAUAUCUUAAAUUCCAUUUUAUACAUAAAUAUUCAACUUUAAACAUUUUAAUUCAAACAUUUGGAUUAUAUAUCAUACAGAAAUAUUCAAGUUUAAAGAUUAUAAUACAAACCCUACAUAUACAUACCCCUAGCCUUACUUAUAACUCCAAACCCUAUAUCAUAUUCCAAACUCUAUACAAAAAGUAUUAAAUCAUAACACUUUAAAAUUAUAACACUUAUUUUAUACUAAAUUAUGAAAUUAUACAAAGUAUAAAAUCUAAAUAUAAAAUCAGUAUAUUCAUAAUAUAACUUCAAUCCCUAAACUUCAAACCACAUACUUCAUAAGAAGAUAAUUUGUACUGUUUUUUAUGAGCCAUUGAUUGAUUUUUAAAUCAAAGUUCCAAAAUCAAUCUCCUAUCUAUCUUUCCCCCAUGUUUUCUAUUGGUUUGGCGCGGAUCACCCUCUGCACCGUUAGAUCAUAACGAGCCAACGCUUGAGAUUUUUUUUUUCAAUUAUUUUCUGAGAACAGAUCGCGUUGGAGAGAGAUAGAGAGAGAGGGGUCAGAAAAAAAGAGAGAAAGGCGACUGGGUACUGUGCUCGACGCCCUAGCAAACCUCGGCCUCCUUUUCUUCUUCUUCUUCCUCUUAAAUAAAGUGGAGGAGGCUGAAGAAGCUUGGUGGUGGUGGUCUCACCACCGACUCCAUAUCAGAAGAAGCAUGGCUCGAGACGAGAAGACAAAGGGCUGGUGAUUCAAGAACAGAACAUAACUCGUGCUCUGUUUUUUCUGUGGUGAUGCGACGACAGCACUCUGGAGGCUGAAGGCGGAUGCUCUGGAGGCUAGAGGCUGGAGGCUGGAGGCUGGAGGCUGGAGGCUGGAGGCUGGAGGCUGGAGGCUGGAGGCUGGAGGCUAGAGGCGGAGGAAUUAGGGUUGUAGGCAGAGGCUUAGAUUUUUUUUUUUUUCGACAGGUAGAGAUCGAAAUCUGGUUAUCAUGAGUUGGAAACAGAAGAGGAUUUAGGUGGUGCUCCUUUACCUGUCCAAGAAGUUGAUGAUAUGGGUGAUGAUAUGGAUGAUGAUAGUGUAUAUGUUAGGGAUGAUUGUGAAGGUUUAUUAGUGGUAGAUUGAUGAUAUGUUGUAUGCUUGUGUGAUGGUUUGUAUGAAUGUGAUAAUGUUGUGUUAUGGGAUUUGAAUAAUUAUAUUGAUUUUUGGAAUUUUAAUAAUUUAUAUUGUUUUUA